CUCUCCAGCCUACAAGUCGGGAGUCGGCGACCGCUUAGUGACGAGCGAUGAUUUUAAAGAGCAGAAUAAAAGGUUUUCCCGUGCCUGCCCCACAGCCCCUCCAGCUCGAAUAAUGGAGAACUGUCAAUGCACUCCGCGAGCGGUGGCCCAUUGUACGCAGCUGAUGGCGAGGAGGCGACUGGGGGUAGCAGGGGCUCCUUGCCCUCGUCCCUAUGCCCAAAUAAACGCGCAAACGCGCUCCCGUCUUCUGGUCAGUUAAAAGGUGAAACGAACACGAUUAAAAUAGACCAAAAGAAAAGAAAGAAAAGAAAACCUUUCUAUGUACAGAUUCUAAAUCGUACUCCCCAUACAGUCAGAGGCAGGGAGUCGAGGGCAGAGGCAGCAGGCGGAGAGAGGGAGAUAGGGCGAGGGAAGGAGAACGCGGAGAGAGACGAAGGGAGUGGGAGACCAGCGACAGCGAGCGCCAGGGCACCGCAGGCACACUGGAUGCCCAGUCCGCCGGCCCAGCCGCCCUCGGACCCUGGACCGUGCGUCGUGGGCACCAGAAACGAGACUCGGCCAAAUCCUGCCUCACCAGCAGGUAGAUGAAACUCAAGAGAAAAGGUGUGGAUAAAUGAAACUAGCCCAUGAUGAACCUGUUUUCUCCGUGACCACAAUAUUAACCAGGAUGAAUGGCGGUGGCAGUGGGCCUGCAUCACAGGUUGCAGCAGAUGUUCUCAAUAUUUCUAUUAAAAUUUCCUUAUUUCCAUAUGCAAGAGGAGCCCCAGAGCUGCAUCCUUAUGGUAGCUACCAUGCCGUGAUGUAAGCUGCCAUUCACUGGGGAGCUUUGGCAAUAGAAUUGGCUAGAUCAGGAAGCCUAUGUCAACUAUGGAACAACAACUUGCAGCUCAUCUCUAUUGAUGGUGAGUCA
rnacentral:lncRNA from 1 species